GAUCUUAAAUCUUCAUUUGCAUUGUCUGGAGCCCAAGGAGCCUUAGAGGUUUUACUGAGGAGCACUUUAUUUUCAUCAUCUUUAGAUUUGCUGAAACUAAAAAAAAGUCUAUCUACUCUUGCUGAGUCGACCCUGGCACUUUAUCCCUUCAAAUGAAGUAGACGUCAUACUGACUAAGAAAACUAAACUAGAAGAGAAAAGAAAUCAGCUUCAACAAAAACUUCAACAUGCCAUCGAUGACUCUGAAAGAUGGAUGAACCAACUAUGGGAGAA
rnacentral:lncRNA from 1 species